rnacentral:rRNA from 1 species
CCUUCGGGGUGAGCGGCGGACGGGUUAGUAACGCGUGGGAAUAUACCCUUUGGUACGGAAUAGCCUCUGGAAACGGAGAGUAAUACCGUAUGUGCCCUUCGGGGGAAAGAUUUAUCGCCAAAGGAUUAGCCCGCGUUAGAUUAGGUAGUUGGUGGGGUAAUGGCCUACCAAGCCUACGAUCUAUAGCUGGUUUUAGAGGAUGAUCAGCAACACUGGGACUGAGACACGGCCCAGACUCCUACGGGAGGCAGCAGUGGGGAAUCUUGGACAAUGGGGGCAACCCUGAUCCAGCCAUGCCGCGUGAGUGAUGAAGGCCUUAGGGUCGUAAAGCUCUUUCGCCUGUGAAGAUAAUGACGGUAGCAGGUAAAGAAACCCCGGCUAACUCCGUGCCAGCAGCCGCGGUAAUACGGAGGGGGUUAGCGUUGUUCGGAAUUACUGGGCGUAAAGCGCACGUAGGCGGAUCGGAAAGUUGGGGGUGAAAUCCCGGGGCUCAACCCCGGAACUGCCUCCAAAACUAUCGGUCUAGAGUUCGAGAGAGGUGAGUGGAAUUCCGAGUGUAGAGGUGAAAUUCGUAGAUAUUCGGAGGAACACCAGUGGCGAAGGCGGCUCACUGGCUCGAUACUGACGCUGAGGUGCGAAAGUGUGGGGAGCAAACAGGAUUAGAUACCCUGGUAGUCCACACCGUAAACGAUGAAUGCCAGUCGUCGGGUAGUAUACUAUUCGGUGACACACCUAACGGAUUAAGCAUUCCGCCUGGGGAGUACGGUCGCAAGAUUAAAACUCAAAGGAAUUGACGGGGCCCGCACAAGCGGUGGAGCAUGUGGUU